rnacentral:rRNA from 1 species
UACGUAGGAGACGAGCGUUGUCCGGAAUUACUGGGCGUAAAGCGCAGGUAGGCGGUUUGGUAAGUCUGUUGUGAAAGCUCCCGGCUCAACUGGGAGAGGUCAACGGAAACUGCCAGGCUCGAGUGUGGUAGAGGUAGCUGGAAUUCCCGGUGUAGCGGUGAAAUGCGUAGAUAUCGGGAGGAAUACCUAUGGCGAAAGCAGGCUACUGGACCAUCACUGACGCUGAUCUGCGAAAGCUAGGGGAGCAAACAGG